CACAUUCUUCUAGUAUAUGUGCAGCUUUGGCUGGAACAAUACAGAGAAGAUUAGCAUGGUCCUUGCGCAAGCAUGAUACGCAAAUUCGUGAAGCGUUUUUUUUUUUU